ensembl:lncRNA
CCACUGGGGAGAGAGUAAGGACUGAAGAAAUAACAAGGGGAUCUUCCUGACCCAGGGAUCGAACUCCUGCCUGGCAGGUGGAUUCUUUACCACAGAGCCGCCUGGGAGGCCCGUGAGAACUAUUACCAGCCCCUUUUCACAGAAUCUGGAGAACUUAGAAAACUUACCCAAGGUCACAUAGCUGGUGGCUUCAUCUAGAAAGGCUUCCUUGCAUUCCCGACAGAGGCCCAUCAUCACCUGUCUGAACUCUUGAAGUACUCAGAGCUCAGCUUUAAACUGCACUAUGUCAUGUGGAGAUGAUCAGGUCAUGAGAUUUAUUGCACAUUUAAUUCCAUCUGAAUGUGUGCUUCUUGGAGAUCCUGCAGCAACCUAGGAGUCUUCAAUAUAUGUGCAUGCUAAGCCGCUUCAGUUGUGUCCAACUCUUUAUGACCCCAUAUAG